CAGUAGCCGCGGUAAUACGUAGGUGGCAGGCGUUGUCCGGAAUUAUUGGGCGUAAAGGGCUCGCAGGCGGUUUCUUAAGUCUGUUGUGAAAGCCCCGGGCUCAACCUGGGGACUGCAUUUGAGACGUGUUGGCUUGAGUGGAGAAGAGGGUCGUGGAAUUUCCAGUGUAGAGGUGAAAUUCGUAGAUAUUGGAACGAACACCGGUGGCGAAGGCGGCGACCUGGUCUUUAACUGACGCUGAGGCGCGAAAGCGUGGGGAGCAAACAGGAUUAGAUACCCGCGUAGUCCCUGUCUCUUAUAC
rnacentral:rRNA from 1 species